CCCAAGAUGGAUUCCCAGGCUGCCCAAGAUGGAUUCCCAGGCUGCCCAAGAUGGAUUCCCAGGCUGCCCAAGAUGGAUUCCCAGGCUGCCCAAGAUGGAUUCCCAGGUUGCCCAAGAUGGAUUCCCAGGCUGGCCAUGAUGGAUUCCCAGGCUGCACAUGAUUGAUUCCCAGGCUGCCCAAGAUGGAUUCCCAGGCUGCCCAAGAUGGAUUCCCAGGCUGUCCAUGAUGGAUUCCCAGGCUGCCCAAGAUGGAUUCCCAGGUUGCCCAAGAUGGAUUCCCAGGCUGGCCAUGAUGGAUUCCCAGGCUGCCCAUGAUUGAUUCCCAGGCUGCCCAAGAUGGAUUCCCAGGCUGCCCAAGAUGGAUUCCCAGGCUGCCCAAGAUGGAUUCCCAGGCUGCCCAAGAUGGAUUCCCAGGCUGCCCAAGAUUGAUUCCCAGGCUGCCCAAGAUGGAUUCCCAGGCUGCCCAAGAUGGAUUCCCAGGCUGCCCAAGAUGGAUUCCCAGGCUGCCCAAGAUGGAUUCCCAGGCUGCCCAAGAUGGAUUCCCAGGCUGCCCAUGUUGUUGCCUGCUAGUGCUACGCUUUGUGACAGCUAAACUACAGCGGCUAGUUGUUAUACUACAGUGGCUAUACUACAGCUGCUAAACUACAGCUGCAAUACUACAGCGGCUAUACUACAGCUGCUAUAGUACAGCGGUUAUACUACAGUGGUUAUACUUCAGUGGUUAUACUACAGCGGUUAUACUACAGCGGCUAAAUUACAGCGGCUAUACUACAGCGGUUAUACUACAGCGGCUAUACUACAGCGGCUAUACUACAGCGGUUAUACUACAGCGGCUAACCUACAGCUGCUAUACUACAGAUGCUAUACUACAGCUGCUAUACUACAGCGGCUAUGGUACAGCGGCUAUGCUACAGCGGCUAUACUACAGCUGCUAUACUACAGCUGCUAUACUACAGCUGCUAUACUACAGCGGCUAACCUACAGCGGCUAUGCUACAGCGGCUAUACUACAGCGGCUAUACUACAGCGGCUAACUACAGCUGCUAUACUACAGCGGUUAUACUACAGCUGCUAUACUACAGAGGCUAUACUACAGCUGCUAUACUACAGCUGCUAUACUACAGCUGCUAUACUACAGCUGCUAUACUACAGCUGCUAUGCUACAGCUGCUAUACUACAGCUGCUAUACUACAGCUGCUAUGCUACAGCGGCUAUGCUACAGCGGCAAUACUACAGCGGCUAUACUACAGCGGUUAUACUACAGCGGCUAACCUACAGCUGCUAUGCUACAGCUGCUAUGCUACAGCGGCUAUGCUACAGCGGCUAUGCUACAGCGGCUAUACUACAGCGGCUAACUACAGCUGCUAUACUACAGCUGCUAUACUACAGCUGCUAAACUACAGCUGCUAUACUACAGCGGCUAUGCUACAGCUGCUAUACUACAGCUGCUAUGCUACAGCGGCUAUGCUACAGCGGCUAUGCUACAGCGGUUAUACUACAGCGGUUAUACUACAGCUGCUGUGCUACAGCUGCUAUGCUACAGCUGCUAUGCUACAGCGGCUAUGCUACAGCGGCUAUGCUACAGCGGUUAUACUACAGCGGUUAUACUACAGCUGCUAUGCUACAGCGGCUAUGCUACAGCGGUUAUACUACAGCACCUAAGACACAGUAAUAUCAGCCUUUUUCUCUAUAACCUGAGCUCAUCAUUAUAUAUCAGAGCUCUGGUUUAUCUAUGGCACAGUAGAAAUGACAGAAAUAGAGAAUCCAGAUUUCCCUGUAUUGUGGUUAUAUACUGUAUGUACAGCUGCAGCUGUACCACCAAGUGGUUUUGGUGAUUUAUUUUACAUCAGGGUUUUUUUCUCAGGAGAUUUAAGUUGCUGUGGGAUUUUUUUCUUUUUAAGAAUUAAAAUAAUUUUAACAAAGUAUCAUUACUGAAUAAUGGAACUAUCAUUUAACAGGCACGAGAAAUACAGGUAGCCUAGUGGUUCGAGCGUUGGGCCAGUAACCCAAAAGGUUGCUGGAGCGAAUCCCCGAGCUGACAAGGUAAAAAUGUGUCAUUCUGCCCCUGAACAAGGCAGUUAAACCCACUGUUCCUAGGCCAUCAUUGUAAAUAAGAAUUUGUUCUUAACUGACUUACUUGCCUGGUUAGAUAAAGGUUAAAUAAAUGUUAAAUAAAGGUUAAAUAAAAUAAAAAUACAGUAAGUUCAAGAUCUCUACAGUAGCUUUGAGAGUGUUGUUGGGGGGGGUCUAGAUGGAGCUAGUGUUUAUGUACUGUAACUGUUCAGAUAUAUUACUCUGUGUAUAUUACAGUAUAUUACAGUUGGCACUUGGAAAGAGGACAUACAUACAAAGUCCUACUGUAUAUGGUGCUAUGACUGAGAAUAAAUAGACUUCAAUACAAGAUUGGCUAGAUAUGUUAUUUAUUGGCUCAGGCAACCAACAGUAGCCCCAUCAAUAUAACUCCUGUGGUUGGAGGAUUACAUAUUACCAUAGAAUUUGACUAUGACCCUCAGAGCAGCCUAAAUUCGUCGGGGUAUGAACUCUACAAGGGGGGCGAAAGCAUUCCACUGGGAUGCUGGCUCAUGUUGACUCCAAUGCUUCCCACAUUAGUGUCAAGUUGGCGAGAGGGAGAGAGAGAGACAGAGAGAGAGGGGGAGGGGGAGAGAGGGAGAGAGAGAGACAGAGAGAGAGGGGAGGGGGAGAGAGACAGAGAGAGAGAGACAGAGAGAGAGAGGGAGAGACAGAGAGAGGGGGAGAGAGAGAGAGAGAGGGAGAGAGAGAGAGAGAGAGAGGGAGGGAGAGAGAGAUAGACAGAGAGAGAGGGGGAGGGAGAGAAAGAGA
rnacentral:lncRNA from 1 species